GCUCAACCGGGGAGGGUCAUUGGAAACUGGGGAACUUGAGUGCAGAAGAGGAGAGUGGAAUUCCACGUGUAGCGGUGAAACGCGUAGAGGUGUGGAGGAACACCAGUGGCGAAGGCGACUCUCUGGUCUGCAACUGACGCUGAGGCGCGAAAGCGUGGGGAGCGAACAGGAUUAGAUACCCUGGUAGUCCACGCCGUAAACGAUGAGUGCUAAGUGUUAGAGGGUUUCCGCCCUUUAGUGCUGCAGCAAACGCAUUAAGCACUCCGCCUGGGGAGUACGGUCGCAAGACUGAAACUCAAAGGAAUUGACGGGGGCCCGCACAAGCGGUGGAGCAUGUGGUUUAAUUCGAAGCAACGCGAAGAACCUUACCAGGUCUUGACAUCCUUUGACAACCCUAGGGAUAGGGCUUCCCCUUCGGGGGCAGAGUGACAGGUGGUGCAUGGUUGUCGUCAGCUCGUGUCGUGAGAUGUUGGGUUAAGUCCCGCAACGAGCGCAACCCUUGAUCUUAGUUGCCAGCAUUCAGUUGGGCACUCUAAGGUGACUGCCGGUGACAAACCGGAGGAAGGUGGGGAUGACGUCAAAUCAUCAUGCCCCUUAUGACCUGGGCUACACACGUGCUACAAUGGGCAGAACAAAG
rnacentral:rRNA from 1 species